rnacentral:lncRNA from 10 species
AGCAUAUUUUCCAUUUUAGUAAAGCCUCUAAAACAAAUGCUAAUUUAUUAAAAUUGAGUGUAUUUUUCUUUGAAAUCUUUUGGAUUUCAUUUACUUAUGUUGUCUAUAGGAUUGUGGUAGCCCAGUCAUAUUGGAAAAUAAUUAGAACAUUGAUGCCAUUAAAAUCUGAGGUAGUGUUUUUCCUUUGAAGUGGUGGUAAUGAUAAAUAUCACCUUAUUCCACAAGCUUUUCAACUGAAACUGUAGAAGACUCUAAUAAAGCUGGCAAUUUUUCAAAAAAGUGAAAAUGUUAUGAAAUGUAAUGUCAGGUGUUUUAUUUCUUCACAGCACUUUCAUCUUCUCCCUGCAACCAUCAAGUCUUCAUAGCACACCUCAUGGGUAAGGACACUUAUUACUGUUAUUUGUUUUUAUUUUAUGUCUUCAAAGUUAUUCUAGCAAAGUGUUGCUGGGUAGACUUCUCUAAAUGUUUAUAAUAGUAAUAACUUCCAUUUACUGGGUUCUUCAUAUGUCAGGAAUGAGCCUAGGAGCUUUGCGUACAUAGUAAUAUAAAAAGUCAGAGAGCUCAAGUAUCUUUCCUUCAACUCAUUUGGAUAAAUAAACAUCAAGAAGCACAAUUGCUGAAAUGUAUGAUAGAAUACAUUUACUUUUGUAAGAAAUUUGACUAGCUUUAAAAAUUUAUUUUUCCAUUCUUCCAGAGACUAAAUUCUGACACUCAGUCAGUUG